UAUAUGGUCCAUGCGAUAUCCAUCUGACGGUCCCCGCAGCUUCUUCCGCACCGGUUGUCCCCCUUCGUCUGCUCAAACCUUCUCGCGUUAUCCUUUCUUGCUUUCUCCCCUCUCCCUCCUUCCGUCCUCUCCCUCCCACUUCCUCCUCCAACGAGCUCCUCCCACCACACCUUCAGCCUCCUCGUCCUCUGCUGCAGGUGCUCUUCCUUGGCCAGCUCCGCACGUCCCGGUGUCCAGGGACGGCGACCCCCUCUUCUUUCCCUCGAUCUGUUCGAAAUCACCUUUUUCCAAUGAAAAGCUACAACUGAUUUGGUCACACCUUCAACACCGACUUCAGUAUUCCUGUGGAAAAUCACCUGUUGUUGGAAUGAAAAGCUGCAACUGAAUUGGUCACACCUUCCACCUCGACUUCAGUAUUCCUGCUCCACAAAGGAGAAGUGGAACAUCUGCCACUGUUACAAGAACACCAUGUUUGUAAACGGACCAUCUCCAAUUGCACUCCUCAAUGCUGCAGUUUCCGAAUGCCGUUUACAAUAAGCAUCUCUUAUCACUGAGAUUGCAGAUGACUCGACAGUAUUAUGUGAUGUCGGACUGGAACUGCCGCAGUUGGAGCUCAUAUAGCACCACGCCGUGAACUUUUUUUUCUAGGAGGCUGCAUAUUCAGAUCCUACCAAACGCAUGUAUCUAUGUAUAUACCUACGUAGGUACUAUGUAUAUGUACCAAUGACUCACUUUCCGUAGUACUAAAUCUUUUCGUAGCUUACUUUUA